rnacentral:tRNA from 1 species
UCCUGGUUAGCUCAGUUAGUAGAGCGCUCCACUGGAAAUCGAGAGGUCCCGGGUUCGAUACACGGGCCAGAUG